UACGUAGGGUGCAAGCGUUGUCCGGAAUUAUUGGGCGUAAAGAGCUCGUAGGCGGUCUGUCACGUCGGCUGUGAAAGCCCGAGGCUUAACCUCGGGUCUGCAGUCGAUACGGGCAUCACUGGAGUUCGGCAGGGGAGACUGGAAUUCCUGGUGUAGCGGUGGAAUGCGUAGAGAUCCGGAAGAACACCGGUGGCGAAGGCGGCCUGCUGGGCAGUAGCUGACGCUGAAGCGCGACAGCGUGGGGGAGCAAACAGG
rnacentral:rRNA from 1 species